ACAACCUCCUAGCUUUCCUUGGGUCUUGCACAGAACGGCGUGAUGAGCGACCAUAAUUCCUCAGCAAUCUUUGCUCUGGACACAUGGAAGAGGAAAGAGCAGGUAAGAUGAGCUGGAAAACCUUUUCUUUUCUUCUGCCUCUCUAGAACUUCAGAAAUGUUCGUUCUCUCGGCAUUUUUUGACCUAUCGGUGCUAUAUUCUUGAGUUUUUAGCAAAUUCAGCAGACUAGUAAUGCUUGUCUUCCUUUAUUAGCAUUCGAGCAGCGCAAUGUGUAACAUUCCUAAAAAGCACCAUGGCAACAUAUCGGUGUUAUUGCCUUCGCGGUCAGCAAUCAGAAGUCUCCAAAGGGUGUCAGAGGAGGAUAACAAAAGUAAUCUGGACACGGCAGCCUCCUUCCAAGGACCUCAGACCACUCCAAGGACACGCUUCUCUCUGCAAACUUCCUCUCAGUCCUUUUCUGCAAGAACCUUUCCUGCGAGCCAGGUCCCUAAGAGGAUUAGCAAAGGGGGGUACCAGUUUAUUUAUACCCACCUCAGCCUGGUGGCAGCCCCAAGAUGGUACGUUGCUGGGUUGUGGAAUGGCCUGUAGCACAGGGAAGGAGCUUCUGGUGCAGCUCAGAGUGGACAACAAGUGUCUACCUCAGAGCUGCUCUGAAUUUAUCCCUAGUUCUGGCGUUUGGGGUUUGUUUUUUUUUCCUUUCUUAACCUGUUCACAUCAGUAAUAUGGACAGGCGGGUUCAGAACUGAAUGAACUACAGAGAUUUGGCCCCUUUUUAAAGAUCAGAACAAUUUACAGGUCUCUUUCGGUUGCGUUUAUUUCACUUUUAACCUCCCCCCAACCAAAAGAACAAAAGAGAAAUAUGAGGAGUUGUGGAAACCCCUCAAACUUGCUCUGUUUAAAUUACAAAUUCCUGGUGGUCUCAGUGCCAGGUGAUGUCGCCAUUUGUGUUUUCUUCUCUACUGCCUGGCUGGAGUGAUCCCCGAGCAGCAAGCUGAGUUAAAUACAUAGCUGUGAUCAAAAGAAAAUGACACCUCUAUUUUUUUUUUUUUUUUUUUUUUUUUGUGCCCCCCGGGGGCCAAAAAAAAAAAAAAAAAAAAAAAAAAAAAAAAAAGUUCUAGGAAAAAUAUUAAACCCNNNNNNNNNNNNNNNNNNNNNNNNNNNNNNNNNNNNNNNNNNNNNNNNNNNNNNNNNNNNNNNNNNNNNNNNNNNNNNNNNNNNNNUACCCCUUUUUUUUUUUUUUUUUUUUUUUUUUUGGUGCCAGCCUGGAGGCCCUUAGGUUUUGGAAUUUGAGUCUUUGAAAAACAAGGUUACUGGACUCUAGUAAAUGAAGUGUCCGGAUGUUAGUGAUGAUUCAUAAAAGCAAUUAAAAAAGGAAAGUGCUUUUCCGCUGAGCGUAAUGUCUUGGUUUGAAGAUGUCCUCAAGUGUGUGUGUAAUGCUGGUCAGUGGAUAGUGACCGCUGUGUUUAAGAUUAUGGAUCCAUUUCCAGCAUAACACUUCUUUUCACAUGGUUCUGAUGAUCGAAACUAUUUUUUUGGUAGUUGAAUCUUUCUUACUUAAUUUCUCGUUAAAAAUAGUUCCCAUCUCUUCCUUCUUCUUAAAUUGGCGAAAAGAAAAUCUACUGAGGAUUCAAUAUUUUCCACGGGAGAUAUUUUCAAUGUAAAAUAUUGGAGAUGGCAAAUAAUUGAAAUUGAUCAAACACAAUUUUUUCCUUCACGGUGCUACUCUCUCGCAUUUUGACCCUGACCUUCCCCGAACACAAACCACCUCAUUUGUACAGCUUUCAAAGCCAUUUUCAAUGAGCAAGACUGAAUUUGGUUAAACCAUGAUUAGGCUUCUUGUUGAGUACAAAGAUCCAUCAGCCCAACCACGUUCCCUAAGCAAGAAGCAGACCCCGAGGUGCACUCCACAACCUCCUUCCUACACGGCUUUUCCAGGCGUCUCAACCAACCUGUUGGUUGUUGGGGGCAGCUUCUAGGCUCUUCUGGAGCAGAUGGUCCCAAUCUUACUGCCUUCUCCAGGUGGGUGCCCCUCGCCUCUCCAGGGGCCUGUGCACCUUCCAAAGUCGUGGCUUCAAUUUGCACUGUCCUCGGUCGGACCACGCGGGUGUGCUAAGGGAAGCAAAAUAGUUUACUGAUUUAUCAUGGAUCAUUAGAUGGAGUAACUAUUCUUAAAACAUCACCAGUAUAGAUACAAUAAUUAGAGAUGUGCUUUUUGUUAACAUCGCCAGCCUCUACCCUCUUGUACAGUACCCUUGGGUACUAAAUAAUUACCCACUUUGUGUGGUUAUCUAGCUCACUAAUUACCCACAAAAAUUGGGGUCAGGUGUUAACUGCUUGAAAUAAGUAUCCUCCGAAGACUUGGUUAAAUUGUAUAAAGAAAUUAUGUGUUUGCAGCAAAACUUUAAAGAAAAGAAAAAAAAAAAACAAAAACCACCAAACAUUUCUUUUUUGGAAGGAAAGAAGAUAAGGGAAGGCGAAAAAAGGCAAUGGAUGUAAAUUGUUCUGUGUGAUGGCAGAAUCUUGCACGCUGCUGUGAUGGUGAGGGAAUCUGCACGGGGAGUGAAAGGAUGGCUGGCAGAUACAGUCUCUCUAAUCCAGUCUACUUUUCCCAAAGAUUAGAUCCUUCAGGGUUUGAUUCUUCCCCUAUCUAGGCUGAUGUCAAUCAGGAUUAUGUCGGUAUAAAUAAGAAAAUUUGUAUCCGUGGAUUCCUGGACUGGCUUCACUGCGUAAUCCCACCUCUUCUAUCACCCAGGGACUUCUGCAUUGCACCCAAUCAUUUAAUUAUGUAUUGUCUAUUUAUUUCCCUGUGUUUGUUUUAGUUGUUUCCAACUCUGUAUGCAUGUGCAGAAUUUCAUUCUAAGGGGCUGCUGCUCGUAAAAACGUAGCUCGCUUUGAGUAAUAAUUUAAUUCCUGUGUUCAGGGAGUUACCCCAGUGAGUCAAAGAUUUCUAGAUAGCCCCACCCUCCCCAACUUCCCGAACACUUACACUGCAGUCACUUUCUCUUUGCCAGACCCACACAAGAUGUCUAACUAGCCAAAAAUCCCCAGAGGCAGCUUCUCCUGCCUCUCCCCGGUUUUAGCCCCAGAAAAGUAAGGAAAUAAAGCCACGGAAGCCCUAAAGCCA
rnacentral:lncRNA from 1 species